rnacentral:rRNA from 1 species
GACGAACGCUGGCGGCGUGCUUAACACAUGCAAGUCGAGCGGUAACGCCUUUCGGGGGUACACCAGCGGACAACGGGUGAAUAACACAUGGGUGAUCUGCCCUGCGCUUCAGGAUAAGCCAGGGAAACUGGGUCUAAUACCGGAUAUGACCUCCUAUCGCAUGAUGGGUGGUGGAAAGAUUUAUCGGUGCAGGAUGGGCCCGCGGCCUAUCAGCUUGUUGGUGGGGUAAUGGCCUACCAACGCGACGACGGGUAGCCGACCUGAGAGGGUGACCGGCCACACUGGGACUGAGACACGGCCCAGACUCCUACUGGAGGCAACAGUGGGGAAUAUUGCACAGUGGGCGAAAGCCUGAUGCAACGACGCCGCGUGAGGGAUGACAGCCUUCGGGUUGUAGACCUCUUUCAUCACGGACGAAACGCAAGUGACGGUACCUGCAAAAGAAGCACCUGCUAACUACCUGCCAACAGCCGCGGUAAUACUUAGGGUGCAAGCGUUGUCCGGAAUUACUGGGCGUAAAGAGUUCCUAAGCGGUUCGUCGCGUCGUUUGUGAAAACCAGCAGCUCAACUGCUGGCUUGCACGCGAUACUGGCACACUUGAGUACUGCAGGGGAUACUGGAAUUCCUGGUGUAGCGGUGAAAUGCACAUAUAUCAGGAGGAACUCCGGUGGCUAAGGUGGGUCUCUGGGCAGUAACUGACGCUGACGACCUAAAGCGUGGGUAGCGAACAGGAUUAGAUACCCUGGUAGUCCACCCCGUAAACGGUGGUCGCUAGGUGUGGGUUCCUUCCACGGAAUCCGUGCCGUAGCUAACGCAUUAAGCGCCCCGCCUGGGGAGUACGGCCGCAAGGCUAAAACUCAAAGGAAUUGACGGGGGCCCGCACAAGCGGCGGAGCAUGUGGAUUAAUUCGAUGCAACGCGAAGAACCUUACCUGGGUUUGACAUACACCGGAAAGCUGCAGAGAUGUGGCCCCCCUUGUGGUCGGUAUACACAGUGGUGCACGGCUGUCGUCAGCUCGUGUCGUGAGAUGUUGGGUUAAGUCCCGCAACGAGCGCACCCCCUAUUCUAUGUUGCCAGCACGUUAUGGCGGGGACUUGUAAGAGACUGCCGGGGUCAACUCGGAGGAAGGUGGGGAAGACGUCAAGUCAUCAUGCCCCUUAUGUCCAGGGCUUCCCCCAUGCUACAAUGGCCAGUACAGAGGGGUGCGAGCCCGUGAGGUGCAGCGAAUCCUCUAAAGCUGGUUUCAGUUCGGAUCGGGGUUUGCAACUUGACCCCCAGAAGUUGGAGUCGCUAGUAAUUGCAGAUCAGCAACGCCGCGGUGAAUACGUUCCCGGGCCU